rnacentral:rRNA from 1 species
GACGAACGCUGGCGGCGUGCUUAACACAUGCAAGUCGAACGGUGACCCACCUUCGGGUGGCGAUCAGUGGCGAACGGGUGAGUAACACGUGGGCAACCUGCCCCUGACUCUGGGAUAACUCCACGAAAGAGGUGCUACUACCGGAUACCACCUCCCUCGGCAUCGGGGGACGUUGAAAGUUCUUCGGUCAGGGAUGGGCCCGCGGCCUAUCAGCUAGUUGGUGAGGUAACGGCCCACCAAGGCGACGACGGGUAGCCGGCCUGAGAGGGCGACCGGCCACACUGGGACUGAGACACGGCCCAGACUCCUACGGGAGGCAGCAGUGGGGAAUAUUGCGCAAUGGGCGAAAGCCUGACGCAGCAACGCCGCGUGAGGGAUGACGGCCUUCGGGUUGUAAACCUCUUUCAGCAGGGACGAAGCGAAAGUGACUGUACCUGCAGAAGAAGCGCCGGCUAACUACGUGCCAGCCGCCGCCGUAAAAC